UGGGGAAUUUCCGCAAUGGGCGAAAGCCUGACGGAGCAAUGCCGCGUGGAGGUGGAAGGCCUACGGGUCGUCAACUUCUUUUCUCGGAGAAGAAACAAUGACGGUAUCUGAGGAAUAAGCAUCGGCUAACUCUGUGCCAG
rnacentral:rRNA from 1 species